UUGGGCGCCUCACACUCGCUCCCUGCCUCAUUUUCCCCAUGUUUCAUGAGGUGCACAUGCCUGACACUCCCCCUAUAUCCAGGGGUUCAGCCUUCUUUCACAAUAACACAGCACCCUGAAAACCAGAAUAACAGACUGGUCCUAUGUCCCCAAACCCGUGACCCAGCUUGAUGCGGAGCAGGCUUGGCAGUGCCAGGCUUGAAGGGCAGGCAGGAGAAAUGGAGCCAACUCCCCCUGGGGGGAAAAUGAGAGCUUUCACAGAGAACAAGUAACUUGCUAUUUAAAUGCAUAAGCGACCGGGCUGUGCCACCACAUAUGCAGAUAGAUGCAAAUGAUAUGCAAAUGAGCCAGAGUAAACUUGGGUUUGCCAGUGGCCUUUGCCAAGCAGUCUCUUAGGGUUUCAUCGGAGUCUGGUCCGUGCCACAAGCUCACAUCUGGGGCCCCGUGGCCUGGGGGUGAACGUGCAGCUGCUCUUCCUCCGAGAAGCCCUCCAGGACCCCACACGUCACGGCUGGACCUCGGUUUCAUCCACUGGGGGUAGGAGGAUGCCUCUCUACCUCUAAACUGCUCUGCAGGCUCCCAAAGCCAGAAAUUCACACAAGAAAGAUCCCAGGAGGGCCGGGGAUGUGGCUCAGCAGCACAAGCGCCUGCCUGACAAGCGGUUCGAGUCCCAAGAGAAGGUCCCUGGGCCACGGGUGGAAAGAUACACGAGACACUGGUGAGGAAGAAGGCAGUGACCCCCGCCCCGGGUUCCCACAGACUGCAGGCCCUGCCCAUGAGCUCACAGCGGAGAAUUCCAACAGCAGUCUUCAGUGACAGCCGCAGCAAAACCAAUUGGAAGACACGAAGAUGCAGAUGCCGUGAACCAAGGCAGGGGACAGAGCCAAGAGAUGGAGGCCUCAGAGGCCGGGAUGGGGCUGGGCAGGUGGGAGAGCCCUUGCCGAUCCUGAGUGCACUCCCCAGCACAGCAACAAACAGACAAAACUGGUUAGCCAGGCGCAGCGGUGCACACCUGUAAUCCUAGCACUCUGGGAGGCCGAGGCAGGAGGGUCACUAUGAGUUUGAGAGCCUGGGCUACAUAGUGAGUUUCAAACCCAGUGGGAACUACACAGCAAGACCCUGUCUCAAAACAAACAUGCAAACAACAAACAAAAAACUGCCAAAUAAAUAAACAAAGCUCUGAUGAAAAUGACUAAAGACAAAAUGAAGUUUUAGGAAAUACCAAAAAGUAGAGUUUCUGAAAUACCAAAAAGAAGAAUUUCUGGUUAAAGAGAGCAGAUUAAGCACAGACAGAAUUUGCCCCUGUUUCUUGCCACCACUGGCACCACCGUUUAAAAUGACAGAAAAGUGGUUUCCCAAGUAUCACAGCAGCAAAGACACGGGCGCGACCCAGCAGCAAAGCAGAUUUGCAGCUGGAAAGCAGCCAGCGGAGGGCAGCAGCGAGGCGGGGAAACCGAGGCAGCCCCAAGGCUCAGCUGCUGUAGGGGUAAGAAGGCAGGAGAGAGCCGGAAUGUGUGGACAGAAUUUAAAGAGUGGUCAGGACCAAAGUCCCUCCCCUCGUGCCAGGGCAGCGUCUCCAGCACUCGCAGCAGGCCCAGACUUCUCACUGCAAACAGAGGAGGUCGGCAGGAGAGAAGGACUCAAGGUGCUGGCUCGGGGAGCCCGGCUGUAUCCCCCAACCUGCGGAGCGGGCCGCUCAGAGCUCAGAGCUUUCCAGCAGCCUCCAGUGCAAAAGCCAAAGUGCUCGGGCACGUGAGGGAAGCUUCCGACACAGAAGAAUGGGAGAGAGGAGGUGAAAAGGCCCUCGGAGGAAACAGAAGAAAUGCCAAAAGGUUAUCAGUACGGAGAUGUACCACACAUUAAAGAAGAACACAAUGUUAUUAAAAAGGGCCCUUAUUGCCUUCUUAGAAUAAAUUAAAGGUUUACUGGUGGGGUUGGGAAAUAAGAGGGGAGACGAGGAAUAUCCCAGAAGGCGAACAAUGAAACAACAAUGCUUAGGAAAGAAAAGACGUUACAAUUAGGGAACGAAGACCAGGGUGGGCGCUCAGUGGCGGAGCACGUGUGUAGCAUGGUUCAAGUCCCAGCACCCCAGAAAGAAGAUCAGAAAAUCAUUCUCAGAGAUCUAACAUCCAAAUAAGAGGAAUCAGGGCUGGGCGCGGUGGUACGUACCUGUGACCCCAGCACUUGGAAGCUGAGGCAGGAGGAUCACUGAGAUUUUGUGAGUUUGAGGCCAGUCUGGGCUCCAUGCUGGGUUCCAGGCCAGCCUGAACUGCAGAUAGGAAUCCUAGAGGAAACGGAAAAAAAUAAAGAAAAUAGAAAGAGGAUGUGAUCAGCAAAUAAGUUAUUCCAGUCAAAUUCUUUGAAUUAAAUGAUAAAAAAUUGAAAAUGUCUUCCAAAUCUAGCAAAAGGAAUGAAGCUGUUUUUCCACUAGGAUGCUUUACACUGAAAUUCUGGUCAUGGGAGGAUAAAAGGUCAUACAAACUUACAGAAAAGGAUAAAUUGGGUUUUAGAAAAAAAUCAGAAUAGCAUCAGACCCCUCAGUGUCACCGCACAAGCUGACAGUGAAGCAAAUCCUUUCCAUGGGAUUUUCUUUUUUGUAACAGUUUUGCUGUAUGUUCAGGUUGGUCUCAGACUCAUGGUGAUUCUUCUUCAUCAGCCUCAAAAACGCAGAGAUUACAGGGGUGCACAUCACCCUCAGCUUUCUUUUCUUUUCUUUUCUUUUUUUUUGUCUUUUUCCUUUUUAUCGGUACCGGGGACUGAACUCAUGACUGCCUGCUUUCAAGGCAGGCACUUACGCCGCUGAGCUAAAUCCCCAGCCCUUCACCCUCAGCUUUCAAUGGGAUCCUUGCUUUCGUUCUGGGUGCUGGACACAAAUCCAGGCCUCUUGCAUGCCAAGCACUUUCGCUAACCCUAAGCCACAGCCUCAGCGUGGAGCAGUGUAGACUUCUAUACCCAGCUAAAUUAUCAAACAGUAGCACGGGCAGAAGGCAUUGCAGACAUAGACUGGAAACUUUAGCUUCUAUACAGUCUGGGGAAUUCACUAGCAGAUCAUUCCACCAAAGUAAGGAAAUAAGCCACGAAGGAAGGAAGGGGAGGAGACAAAUAGAGAAGACAGACAAGGGGGCUCUGCUGGUGUCGAGCGAAGAGAGAAUCCAACAGGACCAGAAGUCAGCCCGGAGAGUCUGGAACAAACUAGAAGGAUCUGGAAAAAGCAAAAACUGUCCCAGAAGCUGUAGCCGAGGCACUAAAUGGGGUGCUUAGAUGUGGUAGGAAGCUGUUCAUGCAGUUGGGGAAGAGUUUAGGAUGAAUUCGUGAAAAUUAUAAGGCAGGAUGACCGCCAGGUCAGCAAAAGUCUGUGAAAGAAAAGAAAUAGACAGCCGUGUUGCACGCUGCAGGGGCAGAGAGGAACAAUCAUAAAGCAAACUUUAAGCCUGAGCCAGCCCCUGUUACGAUUUAAGAGCCCUGGAAGGCACUGGGGGAAAUGUAGGACAGGGAGGAGGGUUACUGGGUGGCGGAGCUGGUGUGGGAGGAGAGAGGCAGGUACUUUGUCACCUUCUGCUCUGGCAGGUGGACAGACCAUGCCCGAAAUGGAAGCCUGUGUGCAGACCCGCGCAUGUGUGUGAACGUUUAGGAAUUUGGGAAUUCAGGACAGAAGUCUUCAGUUUCUCCUAACAGAUCUCAUGAAUCUACUGAUAUUUGAAACUACAUGCCCAAAGCCAGGCAUGGUGGCACAGGCCUGUCAUGUCAGCGCUUGGGAGGCUGAGGCAGGAGGAUCACCACAAGUUGGAGGCCGGCUUGGAACUACAUAGGGCGCUCAAUGCUAGCUUGCACUACAAAGUGAGACCCUAUUUCAAACAAAACAAAACAAAACAACACAACUGUAUGCAUCUAUGCAAAGGAAGAUGUCACACAAUGAGUGAAUGUGAAUAGUUUACUAUAUCCUCUGUGCCUUCUGGAAUCUUCUCAGCUUCUGCAGUUUACAUGAUCCACAGUCACACACUGCACUGUGCUGUUACUUCCAUUCUGCUUCCUAAAGCCCUGGAAAGCAGCCCGUUGGCCUGGGGCUCGGUGUCAGAUUAUAUUUAGUUCGGAAGAACUAAACAUUCUUCCUUAAGAUCAGAACCAGAGCUGGGACGUGCGCUCUGACUUCUCCGACUCAGCCUCACUAAGGGAUCGAACAGAGGGGCACAAGGCAUGCAGGAAAGAAAGGGAUCUGCCUGUCCACACACAAGACAGGACUGUGUACAUUUAAAAAUCCCUCAGAGAGCCGGCAUGGUCCUGCACAUCUGUAAUCCCAGCACUAGGGAGGCUGAGGCAGGAGGAUCAUUGUGAAUCUGAGACCAAUUUGGGCUACAAGGUAAGCUCAAGGUCAGCCUGAGCUACAUAGGCAGACCUUCUCUCAAAAAACAAAACAGGGGGCUGGGGAUUUAGCUCAGCGGCAUAAGCGCCUGCCUUGCAAGCAGGCAGUCGUGCGUUCCAUCCCUGGUACCAAUAAAAACGAAAAAGACAAAAAAAAAAAAAAAAAACCCCAAAACCACAACAAAAUGUUUGAUUUUAUAACAGAUAAGGUGGGAAAAAUCAGAUAGCUGUAUGCCAAGCAAGUUGAGAUUUAUCUCAUGUUAUACAAAAGUAACUCAACAUGAAUUCUAGGGCUAAGCAUAAAAUGUAAAAUAAUAGAAAUUCUAGAGGAAAAAAAAGGGAGGGGUCUUGUAUCUUUGGAAUAAGAAAAUACUCUUAAAAUUGACACAAAAUGUGUAUUUCAUAAAAUUAAAAAAUUGAUAAAUUAGAUUUCAUUCAAAAUUUUAAA